GGGGAUUUCAGCGAUGGCAUCCUCCUACUUCUGCCAUCAUCUUUGUCAGGCUUUUCAUCACUAGAAUCAGGAUAAUCUAGAGUUACGUUAGAAGGGGGAGAUGCUUCCCAUUUUUUAAGUUUCAGGAGGCUAGCAGUAGCUUCACAAGUUUUCCCUUUCACUGAUGAUUCAGUAAGAGGCAAAUAUACAGAAUCCAUUUUCUCUGUAGCUUUAGAAACAUCUUCAAACCAUGAUUGCUGCUCCGUAGAUUUUUGGGAUGGAUAGGGAGUCCAGCGAUAUAUUUUAUCUCUCGAAGGGCUCCCACUUUUUCCACUGUUUCUUGGAGCUUUGCUUUCUGGUUGCUUGGAAGUACCAAAAUCCAAUGCUCCCUCAGAAGGAAGUUUAUCACUAGUAAAAUCAAAUGAGUCACUCCUAUUAUUUCGAUCCCUGUAUGGAAUAACAUCAGUCAUGUCUUUCUCCUGCCACUGCCACAUAUAUCUUUCCUUAUUAUAUUUAGCUGGCUCUAAUAAAUAUGCAUCUCCAGAGCUUCCGAAAUUCCAGCUAUUUGCACCGUGAGAAUUAGACUUCCAGUUUCCUCCAUAACUCUUGCAAUUCCAGCUAGAAAAAUUACCUGUUCCUUCUGUGUGCCAAGUAGAAUUCCUCCCUCUGGCACUGUGAUGCCAAUUUGAUAUUCCUCCCCCUCGCCCAUUUGGAUGCCAAACAAUUCCAGAAUUCCCAUAGUUAUGCCAACUUGAAGAGCUUCCUGAAACAUUUUGGUGCCACCCAGAACGUCCCCUUGGGCCAGCUGGAUGCCUACUUAUAUUAAGGUUCCUCUGGGAGUGUGAAAAUUUGCUCUGUCUAGAAUUAAUAUAAUCAUCCCUUUCCCAUUUCCAGUCCCUUUGUGAUACAUUAUGAUGAUGCCACGAUGACUGAUCAUAAGCUUCUCUUUCUUUGUAUGUAGCUCUCUCUUCUCGCCUCCUCUGUGAUCUCCUGUCAUCGCAUUCUGUUUCUUGGUUUGUACAGCAUUGCUCAACUUGCCGGUUCCGUUCCUUCCUUUGUUUGAUUAGUUGAAUGAGUUCUUUGUCAAGGUAUUCUUCUUCUGCCUCCUCUUUCUCUUCUGCUUUAUCAUGGGCAUCAACAUUAUCUUUGUGUAGCUGGCUGGAGAUGUGCUUGGCAUAUGCUGACAAGCCCACCAGCGUCACCCUGCACACCUGGCACUCGUGGUUGCUGUCCCUAGGAAGAGAGGCAGAGGGUGGGCUUUUGGUUCUGCCAACAGGCAUGGUGAAUUAUCUCUGGUCUUACUUUGUUUCCUCUGAAUGUGCUUAUCUUUAGCCAAUGGUCUGUGUUCAAGGCUAUUAGGUUUUGCUCGGUAUGUUUAAGUUACUUGAAUUCUGUUUGGUUUUUUUUUUCAUUCAAUGUCUAGGUUUUUUGAUGGUAAGUUUUUAGAAGAUUUUUUUCCAACAAUCAAGAGGUAGAAGACUUGGUAAUAGAGCUGCGUUAAACAGGAGGAGGAAUUCGUCUUGAAUUGUUGUACUCAAAAUCUUUUCAGAGGAAACAUAGUGAGCGAGGAGGCAG
rnacentral:lncRNA from 1 species